GGGGGUCUAGCGGCAGGCUUAACACAUGCAAGUCGAGGGGUAGGGUUCUUCGGAAUCUGAGACCGGCGCACGGGUGCGUAACGCGUAUGCAAUCUGCCUUUCACAGAGGGAUAGCCCAGAGAAAUUUGGAUUAAUACCUCAUAGCAUAAUCAAACCGCAUCGGUUCAUUAUUAAAGUCACAACGGUGAAAGAUGAGCAUGCGUCCCAUUAGCUAGUUGGUAAGGUAACGGCUUACCAAGGCAACGAUGGGUAGGGGUUCCUGAGAGGGAGAUCCCCCACACUGGUACUGAGACACGGACCAGACUCCUACGGGAGGCAGCAGUGAGGAAUAUUGGUCAAUGGGCGCAAGCCUGAACCAGCCAUGCCGCGUGCAGGAUGACGGUCCUAUGGAUUGUAAACUGCUUUUGUACGGGAAGAAACACUCCGACGUGUCGGAGCUUGACCGGUACCGUAAGAAUAAGGAUCGGCUAACUCCGUGCCAGCAGCCGCGGUAAUACCGGAGGAUCCAAGCGUUAUCCGGAAUCAUUGGGGUUUAAAGGGUCCGUAGGCGGUCUUGUAAGUCAGUGGUGAAAGCCCAUCGCUCAACGGUGGAACGGCCAUUGAUACUGCAGGACUUGAAUUAUUGGGAAGUAACUAGAAUAUGUAGUGUAGCGGUGAAAUGCUUAGAGAUUACAUGGAAUACCAAUUGCGAAGGCAGGUUACUACCAAUUGAUUGACGCUGAUGGACGAAAGCGUGGGUAGCGAACAGGAUUAGAUACCCUGGUAGUCCACGCCGUAAACGAUGGAUACUAGCUGUUGGGAGCAAUUUCAGUGGCUAAGCGAAAGUGAUAAGUAUCCCACCUGGGGAGUACGAACGCAAGUUUGAAACUCAAAGGAAUUGACGGGGGCCCGCACAAGCGGUGGAGCAUGUGGUUUAAUUCGAUGAUACGCGAGGAACCUUACCAAGGCUUAAAUGCAGACUGACCGAUUUGGAAACAGAUCUUUCGCAAGACAGUUUACAAGGUGCUGCAUGGUUGUCGUCAGCUCGUGCCGUGAGGUGUCAGGUUAAGUCCUAUAACGAGCGCAACCCCUGUUGUUAGUUGCCAGCGAGUAGUGUCGGGAACUCUACA
rnacentral:rRNA from 1 species